AUAAUGUUCGAGUCUGAAGGCACAUACGGUAACUACAGAAACCUCCUUUGAUACUUCUGAAGUCAUUUUAAAUGGGCCGUCCAUUUGUCUGAGUCGUACGACUUAUCCAGAACCUAGUACAGUCAUCUAUCAUCGCCCGCUGAUCACCUGUUCCUCCCAUGAUCUUUGUGUUUGAUCUUGGCGACAUUAAGCAGCACGGAGAGCAAAAGCAUCAUUGGGUACCCUGCCACCUGCCCUCGUCAAUCGACUUGAUGGAGAGAACCUUUUUAUUUGCCAUUUACCCACUGCCAGAGAGGGUAUACUGGGCCGCUGACGUCAGUGCGGGGAUGAAACGCGGGAAGGAAAUAAGCCCAUGUCUUUGCUCAAGAUCAACGCCACGGGAAUCAAAGCUCACUGCUGACAGAUAAGUAUGUUUAGAAGAACGGUGGCUUGUUGAAAAUUUUGACUGGAGGAAAAAACACCCACAUGAUCUCUUGAAAACAGAAAGAGAGGGACGAUGUACAGAUUCAGUCUUUUUCCUAGACUGACCCG
rnacentral:lncRNA from 1 species